AUUAAUCAUAAUUCACAUGCUUCUAAAUGAUUUGAUGAUUAUCCAGAAGAAAUUAGUCUAUUUUAAGCAGAGGCACUGAUGUAGCACAUAUCAGUUCCAGAAUUCACACAUUUGUGCUACAACAAUCUUUGCAAUUGCUUGGGCAAAUUCAUCACCACUUGAACCAGAUUUCCUCUUUGCAUGUUGUGAUUUUUCAUGCACUCUUCCACUCUCCCCACCUCCAUG
rnacentral:misc_RNA from 1 species